UACUCUUGAAUGGUAUUUGGRCCUCUAGGGUUCUUUUUCAGUUUAACUCGUUUUGUUUUCUUGUGAACGCCAUGAAAUUCCUGUCACUGCUUCAUGACUACAUCUAGUUCAGAUACUGUAUUUGGUAACAAAAGGUAUCACGACUGCUUUGUUCUCACUUUUUUUUUUUUUUUUAAAUUUAAACAGCAAUGAAGAAGGGACCAUCACUUGCCAAUACAACAAGGUUGGAUCCUGAAGGUAGAACAAUGCAGUGUGGAUAAAGAACAGAUCAGGGUGGCAUAAUCUAUAUACUGUGACGGAAAAGCUUCAGGAAGGGAGUAACUUCGCGUGCUUUGAAUCUAUGGAAAUGCUGGUGCAAAUACUGGAGAAAAAUUUUAAGAGUUUUAGAUCAUCAUCAUUUAGGAAGUUUGAACAUCAGCAUCAUUUAGGAAGUUUGAACUUGUAGGAGGACUUGGAAGCAAAUUAUCCAAUAUGCUGAAAACAGCAUGAAAUAGAGGCAUUUUCAGAGUCCAUUAAUGUAUGCCAUAUAUAAAACUGACAGAAGUACCACAGUUCUGAAGAGGACUUUCAUGGAGACCUGGAAAUAAAGUUUGCACAGAAGACAGGUAUUUUCUCCUGCAAAGCUCUUGUGCUGAUCCAGAAGAUUGGAAGAGCUAGAACAGCUCAAAAGAGUCCAGAACU